CAGUAGCCGCGGUAAUACGAAGGGGGCUAGCGUUGCUCGGAAUGACUGGGCGUAAAGGGCGCGUAGGCGGUUCACGCAGUCAGAUGUGAAAUUCCUGGGCUUAACCUGGGGGCUGCAUUUGAGACGCGUGGGCUUGAGUGUGAAAGAGGGUCGUGGAAUUCCCAGUGUAGAGGUGAAAUUCGUAGAUAUUGGGAAGAACACCGGUGGCGAAGGCGGCGACCUGGUUCACAACUGACGCUGAGGCGCGAAAGCGUGGGGAGCAAACAGGAUUAGAUACCCCUGUAGUCCCUGUCUCUUAUAC
rnacentral:rRNA from 1 species